rnacentral:rRNA from 1 species
UACGGAGGGGGCUAGCGUUGUUCGGAAUUACUGGGCGUAAAGCGCGCGUAGGCGGCUUUGUAAGUUAGAGGUGAAAGCCCGGAGCUCAACUCCGGAAUUGCCUUUAAGACUGCAUCGCUAGAAUCAUGGAGAGGUGAGUGGAAUUCCGAGUGUAGAGGUGAAAAUUCGUAGAUAUUCGGAAGAACACCAAUGGCGAAGGCAGCUCGCUGGAACGGUACUGACGCUGAGGCGCGAAAGCGUGGGGAGCAAACAGG